UUUACUAUGCACGGUUUAUAUUAUAAUAUACAUUAUAUACGGUGUGUGUGUAUACAGUAUAUAUAUAUAUAUAUAUAUAUAUAUAUAUAUAUAUAGUGUGUGUGUGUGUGUGUAACAUCUUUAAAGACUAGCGUAUGUGCAGAAGUCCUUUCUCUGCAUUAAUUAGUCUCUAAUUUAGUGCAAUUACACAACAGCUUAUUUAGCCAAGUCAGAUUGUUGUAAACAACAAUUACUACUUUCUUAGUGUGUUGCCAUGGGGUUAGAAAAGCACAUGUGUUUUCUCAAAAGGCACAUAAUUAUGUACAGAUGCAUAUUAAAUGACAGCAAAGAGAUUCGUUCAAAAACCUAGAUUCUGGCUGCAUAUUCCAACAGGGUGAUCUAUUAUUGGUAGAUCUGUAAAUUUUACAUGUAUGAAUAUGAGUAUGUAGAGCUCAUCACUUCUUUGAUGGUACUUUACAGUGAAAAAGAAAAAUCAUUCCUUUAAAGUAAAAAUUAAUACAAGCCUAUCAAAUGAAGUGGAAACUGAGCACACAACCACCAGCAAGACUGUGAAUAAAGUCACCUAAUAAAUUUAAUGCUCAAAGACUGGUAAAGUAGGACUCAACAAGACAUCAGAGAAUGUCUGACAAUUGCUUUUCCCACUGCUUACCCAAAAUAAUUUGCAAGACAUCAGUUCCUAAGAUCUACAGCUAGAAGGUUACACACAGAGAUGUUAAGCAGGCUUGUUUGCAAAUGUUUUGAAGAGUCUACAAUAGGCAUUUUCUAUUCCACUGCAAGCUAUAAAUAAACAAAUAAAUAAAGUAUAUGAUUUGAUAUGAUAGGAUAUGACAUAGCACAGACUCUCAGGCUAAUGUGCCUUUCAUUAUACAUGCAUUUAUAGCAUUCAAUUGCAGGAAACACUUAUACAAACAACUCCUGGUAAUUACCUUAUCACUGGUAUAGAUCCAAAGAGUAUUUGUUCAUUUCCUCAACUACUCUCAUCAUUCAACAUGCUCCACACAGCAGUGCACUUUACAUGCAUAUGAUGAACUGACAUCCCUCAGUGACUCCACUCUGACAGCUGCUGCACCUUGCCUUUUCAUGGUUGAACAGAGAGCAGUCUUCUCCUCGGGGCAAAUUUUCAAGAUCACACUGUCCUGGGUCAUCAGCUUGUCAGGUUUAUAAAGGCCUGAGGUCUGGUAUACAACUUUUCCUUGCUUCUUGAUUUGUCCUGAAUGCAACACGAAUCACAGACCUGCAAAAACCUUUCACAGACAACAGAUCAAUGAAUUUACUCAUGCUAUCCAGUAGCAACAAGGUUUUUUAUUAUUAUUAUUAUUUUAUUAUUAUUAUUUGCAUUCAGCAUUUGUUAAUAUAAAUAUAAACAGUUAAUAAUAAUAAUUGGUGCACCCCAUGGAGUACCGAUGUGGUCCCUCUAGGGGUUCUGGACCCCCUGUUAAAGCUCUUAUUUGUAACGAGUCAGUCAUCCUAUAUUUGGUACAUGGAAUCUUUUAUAAUAAGUGAUGACAAGGGAUCAGAUGAGAGUUAAACAUCUCCAUCUUGUUGACAAAAUAGUGUAGUACGCAAUUUUAGGGUGAAAGUACUUGCCAGCCUUGGAUCUGUACAUGGUGUUGUGUUUCAGGAUGGUAAUUAAACAAGAUAUGUUCUAUAUAAAGGCAUUCACUGUCCACUUUAGUCGAAGUUAGAAGACAUGCCACUAUACACUGCAAAACUGUAACAAAAUAUUAGUAUUCAUCUUAUUUGAAGUUUUGUACAGGUAGAGGUAGAGGAGAUUUUCUCCUUCCCUGAUAAAAUUCCCAAAUUUUACCUUCAGAUGUAACAAAAUUUGUAUUAAAUAAACACAUGCAAGGCAGGCACUUUCACAUGCCUUUGAAAGAGGCUGAAGCUAUAGUAUUUUCCUUCUGUUUUUUACUGUAGACCAGACCACGAUUCAGCUAUCAGUAGCCAUAUCCAUCACAGCUGAUCAUGUGACUGAACAAACACUCUCUGAUCCCUACUUG
rnacentral:lncRNA from 1 species